CCCAUUUAAGAGCUGACUGCCACUAGGGAAGGUUUCUUCUGGAAAUCCCUCCUCUGGAGUUUUAUGACAAGUCCAGGAUAUGGAGAGAUAUUUUGCUUCAAGGAAAGAAGAACCAGCAUGGCUCAAAUAUGGACUGAUCCAUCUUGCUUCCAUGAAACUCGAAACAAAGACAAAUAAGUCAGUGGAAGGGAAUGAAGAGACACUUCAGGAAUCCUAAGCCUACGCUUUGUGCACUGUGGAGAGUUGAGAGAAGCAGUGUGCUUAUCUCUGUGAUGACAAAUGAAGAUUAAAUGAAGAUAUUCACCAGACAAUUCCUCCAGUGUUCCCUGAUCUGAAAUGCACACUGAACAUUGUGGAAGUUGGCUUAGCGCUUCUGGCUCAGUGGAAGGAAAGCCUGCAGCUCUGGCAGCAUUAAGGAGCUAAGCAAAAUCAAGUCUGGAACAUCCUCACUUUCAGGCCCAUGGUUCCAGAUUGGCUGAAAACUUGCAUGGAGCCUGUCCCCGUGCAGAGAUCUGUGUUAGCCAUGGAGAAAGAAGCACAUCUGGCACUGGGUGCAAUCUGGAGCUUCCCAGUAACUUCCGAGACUCUCAAACUUUUUGGUGCUCUUACUGCACUUAGAACUAUGGCACUCUGCAUGAGCAGAAAACUUGUUUUAAUAAAAAAUAUGGAUAAGUUUUAUCUUCGUGGCCAGCUACUGACUCUAACAAGCACCAUCUGCCUGUCCUGCUCUCUUGCACCGCACAUGUUCACAGCUACUACACCUCCAAGGUGACAAAUGAGCAGUCGAGCUAAUUUCAUUGGGAUAAACAAGAAAGCAAGAGCCAGAUGGAAAGCCAUGGAGAGAGCCAAUGGCAUCGGGGGGGAGAAGAGUGAGUGCUGGGAGAAGAAAUCUCCAUA